rnacentral:rRNA from 1 species
CGGGGUAACGGCCCACCGAGGCGACGAUGCGUAGGGGUUCUGAGAGGAAGGUCCCCCACACUGGUACUGAGACACGGACCAGACUCCUACGGGAGGCAGCAGUGAGGAAUAUUGGUCAAUGGGCGCGAGCCUGAACCAGCCAAGUCGCGUGAGGGAUGACGGUCCUACGGAUUGUAAACCUCUUUUGCCGGGGAGCAAGCGUGCGUUCGUGAACGCGCGUCGAGAGUACCCGGAGAAAAAGCAUCGGCUAACUCCGUGCCAGCAGCCGCGGUAAUACGGAGGAUGCGAGCGUUAUCCGGAUUUAUUGGGUUUAAAGGGUGCGUAGGCGGGAUGCCAAGUCAGCGGUAAAAAUGCGGUGCUCAACGCCGUCGAGCCGUUGAAACUGGCGUUCUUGAGUGGGCGAGAAGUAUGCGGAAUGCGUGGUGUAGCGGUGAAAUGCAUAGAUAUCACGCAGAACUCCGAUUGCGAAGGCAGCAUACCGGCGCCCUACUGACGCUGAGGCACGAAAGCGUGGGUAUCGAACAGGAUUAGAUACCCUGGUAGUCCACGCAGUAAACGAUGAAUGCUAACUGUCCGGCUCGAAUGAGCGCUGG